rnacentral:rRNA from 1 species
UACGUAGGUGGCGAGCGUUGUCCGGAAUCAUUGGGCGUAAAGAGCGCGUAGGCGGCUUGUCAGGUCUGAUGUGAAAUGCCGGGGCUCAACUCCGGACGUGCAUCAGAAACCGGCUUGCUAGAGUCUGGGAGAGGGAAGUGGAAUUCCUGGUGUAGCGGUGAAAUGCGCAGAUAUCAGGAGGAACACCGGUAGCGAAGGCUGCUUCCUGGAACAGUACUGACGCUAAGGCGCGAAAGCUAGGGUAGCAAACAGGAUUA